AACGAACGCUGGCGGCAGGCUAACACAUGCAAGUCGAGCGCCCCGCAAGGGGAGCGGCAGCCGGGUGAGUAACGCGUGGGAACGUACCUUUUGGUUCGGAACAACUCCGGGAAACUGGAGCUAAUACCGGAUAAGCCCUAACGGGGAAAGAUUUAUCGCCGAAAGAUCGGCCCGCGUCUGAUUAGCUAGUUGGUGAGGUAACGGCUCACCAAGGCGACGAUCAGUAGCUGGUCUGAGAGGAUGAUCAGCCACACUGGGACUGAGACACGGCCCAGACUCCUACGGGAGGCAGCAGUGGGGAAUAUUGGACAAUGGGCGCAAGCCUGAUCCAGCCAUGCCGCGUGAGUGAUGAAGGCCUUAGGGUUGUAAAGCUCUUUUGUCCGGGAAGAUAAUGACUGUACCGGAAGAAUAAGCCCCGGCUAACUUCGUG
rnacentral:rRNA from 1 species